UGAACUCAUUGAGAGUCGAGGCAGUGCAUGUUUACAUGCCAGUGCUUGGAUACACAAAUUUUCUCAGCAUCUGAAAUGAAGUAGGACCACCCGCUGAACUUAAGCAUAUCAUUAAGCGGAGGAAAAGAAACUAACAAGGAUUCCCCUAGUACGGGCGACGGAAGCGGGAAAAGCCCACACUGGUAAUCUCCGGGCGCUAGCUCGGCGAAUUGUAAUCUGAAGAUAGCUAGUCUACCUGGACCGGACGCCUAAGUGCGCUCGAGCGCGCCGCCGAAGAGGGUGAGAGCCCCGUACGGUGUCGGGUCCUACAAGGGCUGGUUGUCGAAGAGUCGUGUACUUUGAUACUAGUGCACUAAGCGGGAGAUAAACUUCUUCUAAGGCUAAAUACAAGUAGGAAACCGAUAGCGAACAAGUACUGUGAAGGAAAGAUGAAAAGCACUUUGGAAAGAAAGUUAAAAGACUUGAAAUCGUUGAGGCGGACCCGGUAGAAAUGUAUUCUAGCGAAGCGCCCUGGGAAGCCUGUAUUCGGGCCACUCGGGCGUCAGCCGAGACAAGAUGGAGUCGCCGGAUGCCAGAGGCCGAACGCGAGGGAGCUUGCUUCAGCGCGUGCGUGCCGGGUGUCGGGCGGCUUGAGGGGCUUUGAGCGAUCUUGUCAAAAUGGUUUUUACCGACUCGUCUUGAAACACGAACCAAGGAGUCUAAGACUAACGCGAGUGUGGUGGUGGAAAAACCAACACGCGAAAUGAAAGUAAACGAUGCCAAGCUCCCUGCAGCAUCGACCGACCACUUUCUCCUGGAAGAGGUUUGAGUAAGAGCGUUAUUCUUAGGACCCGAAAGAUGGUGAACUAUGCCUGUGUAGGGUGAAGUCAGGGGAAACUCUGAUGGAAGCUCGUAGCGAUACUGACGUGCAAAUCGUUCGUCGAACAUGGGUAUAGGGGCGAAAGACUAAUCGAACCAUCUAGUAGCUGGUUCCCUCCGAAGUUUCCCUCAGGAUAGCUGGGACAAGUACGCAGUUUUAUUAGGUAAAGCGAAUGAUUAGAGGCAUCGGGGAUAAAAUGUCCUUGACCUAUUCUCAAACUUUAAAUUGGUAAGAACUCCAUCCUUUUCUUAACUGAAGACGGAGGUUCAAUGCGUGUCCUUAGUGGGCCAUUUUUGGUAAGCAGAACUGGCGAUGAGGGGUGCUCCUAACGUCUGGUUAAGGUGCCAAACUACACGCUCAUCAGAAACUACAAAGGGUGUUAGUUCAUGAAGACAGCAGGACGGUGGCCAUGGAAGUCGGAACCCGCUAAGGAGUGUGUAACAACUCACCUGCCGAAUG
rnacentral:rRNA from 1 species